AUUGAAACACCUGUUCUCGUACGAUCAUCGAAGUUAAGCAGCAUCGAGCCUGGUCAGUACCUAGAUGGGUGAGCACUUGGGAAUACCAGGUGCUGUAA